GACGAACGCUGGCGGCGUGCCUAAUACAUGCAAGUCGAGCGGAAGUUGAAGAGCUUGCUCUUCAACUUUAGCGGCGGACGGGUGAGUAACACGUGGGCAACCUGCCCUGCAGAUCGGGAUAACUCCGGGAAACCGGUGCUAAUACCGAAUAGUUUUCGCCACCUCCUGGUGGCGUACGGAAAGACGGUUUCGGCUGUCACUGCAGGAUGGGCCCGAGGCGCAUUAGCUAGUUGGUGGGGUAACGGCCCACCAAGGCGACGAUGCGUAGCCGACCUGAGAGGGUGAUCGGCCACACUGGGACUGAGACACGGCCCAGACUCCUACGGGAGGCAGCAGUAGGGAAUCUUCCGCAAUGGACGAAAGUCUGACGGAGCAACGCCGCGUGAGUGACGAAGGUUUUCGGAUCGUAAAACUCUGUUGUGAGGGGAGAACAAGUACCAACUAACUACUGGUACCUUGACGGUACCUCACCAGAAAGCCACGGCUAACUACGUGCCAGCCGCCGCCGUAAAAC
rnacentral:rRNA from 1 species